rnacentral:rRNA from 1 species
CUGAAGGUACUCAAUCUUGUCUGAUCUUGGAAGUUAAGCAG